GUCUACGGCCAUACUAUUCUGAAUGCUCCCGCUGUUGUCUGAUCUUGGAAGCUAAGCAGACUCAGGUUUGGUUAGUACUUGGAUGGGAGGCCGCCUGGGAAUACGGGGCUUGCAACAACCC